UACGUAGGUGACAAGCGUUGUCCGGAUUUACUGGGCGUAAAGAGCGCGCAGGCGGUCGACCAAGUCGAGUGUGAAAGCCCCCCGGCUCAACUGGGGAGGGUCACGCGAUACUGAUCGACUCGAAGGCAGGAGAGGGAAGUGGAAUUCCCGGUGUAGUGGUGAAAUGCGUAGAUAUCGGGAGGAACACCAGUGGCGAAGGCGGGUCUCUGGGCCGAUAUUGACGCUGAGGAGCGAAAGCGUGGGGAGCAAACAGG
rnacentral:rRNA from 1 species